rnacentral:rRNA from 1 species
GAUGAACGCUGGCGGCGUGCUUAACACAUGCAAGUCGAACGAAGCACUUUAUUUGAUUUCCUUCGGGACUGAUUAUUUUGUGACUGAGUGGCGGACGGGUGAGUAACGCGUGGGUAACCUGCCUUGUACAGGGGGAUAACAGUUGGAAACGGCUGCUAAUACCGCAUAAGCGCACGGCAUCGCAUGAUGCAGUGUGAAAAACUCCGGUGGUAUAAGAUGGACCCGCGUUGGAUUAGCUAGUUGGUGAGGUAACGGCCCACCAAGGCGACGAUCCAUAGCCGACCUGAGAGAGUGACCGGACACAUUGGGACUGGGACACGGCCCAAACUCCUACGGGAGGCAGCAGUGGGGAAUAUUGCACAAUGGGCGAAAGCCUGAUGCAGCGACGCCGCGUGAGCGAAGAAGUAUUUCGGUAUGUAAAGCGCUAUCAGCAGGGAAGAUAAUGACGGUACCUGACUAAGAAGCACCGGCUAAAUACGUG